ACAUGCAAGUCGAACGGAAAGGCCUCUUCGGAGGUACUCGAGUGGCGAACGGGUGAGUAACACGUGGGUAAUCUGCCCUGCACUUCGGGAUAAGCCUGGGAAACUGGGUCUAAUACCGGAUAUGACCACGGAACGCAUGUUUUGUGGUGGAAAGCUUUUGCGGUGUGGGAUGGGCCCGCGGCCUAUCAGCUUGUUGGUGGGGUGACGGCCUACCAAGGCGACGACGGGUAGCCGGCCUGAGAGGGUGUCCGGCCACACUGGGACUGAGAUACGGCCCAGACUCCUACGGGAGGCAGCAGUGGGGAAUAUUGCACAAUGGGCGCAAGCCUGAUGCAGCGACGCCGCGUGGGGGAUGACGGCCUUCGGGUUGUAAACCUCUUUCAGCAGGGACGAAGCGCAAGUGACGGUACCUGCAGAAGAAGCACCGGCCAACUACGUGCCAGCAGCCGCGGUAAUACGUAAGGUGCGAGCGUUGUCCGGAAUUACUGGGCGUAAAGA
rnacentral:rRNA from 1 species